GAAGAAGUUUUAACCGUCUUCAUUACUGUUUAGUUCACGGUGGUUCUUCGGUCAUCGGAUUUAUAUUUUCUGUUAUGGUAUCAGGGGUAUUUUCGUCUGUUUCCGUUGUUCUUCGUUUCUUUUUCUCUCCCUUGUUUCGUCGUGUAUCUCGAUAAGGUGUAAGCUCCAUUGUUCUUUGUCUUACUGUUCCUGGUCGAUUACUCUUUAAAGUUCAAUCGACUAGUGAAAGGACAGUGAUCUCCUUCAGGUGAAACUAGAAUUGUCCAUAUUCUAUGUCACAAUGCAUUUGAAGCACCAUCAAAAUUCAACUUCCAGUGUCCACUUGUGGAAGUACUCAUUUCUUCUACAAUAUAGCUAUCAAAUCUUCGUCAGAAAAGUCAAAAUUCAAUGGUUCAUAUUCUUCAGAAGUUCUACUUGCUAUGAAGUCUGCUAUAGCACUUCCUUUAAUUAUUUUCUGGCUUACAUACUGGAUGUCGAAUUCUGAUAACAAGAUCUACCAACAAGCUAGCCUUCCAGAUAGAGCCGAUACACCCAUCAGAUACUUCAAAGGGUCCAAUUUGGAGAUCAACUAGGUGUUGUAAUACAACAUGUAUUGUUUGAGUCUACAAGUAGCCCAAACCAAUGAACAACACAAAUUUUCAAUUGUAACGCUGACCUAGUACACAACCUAACGAGUUCUCGAAGACUGAUAGGUAUAAAUCAACUGUUUUCCUGAGAUCGAUGGCACUAAGACCAGGUAUUAGACAAAUACGACUUUAGUACUUCAAAGCCUUUUUGGAAAUCAUCACCCCACACCCUUGGGUUGUUGUUUUUUUUAAUAAGGCGAAGACAUGAUCACAUUUCUUGGUCAAUUGUGAGAUAAAUAGAGCAAUGUAGUUUAAUCUACCUAGGAAUCCAUAAACUUCUUUUUUGUGUCUGCGGAGGUAGCAAAUUUUGAAUAACGUUAACUUUUCUGGGUCUAUUAUA